rnacentral:rRNA from 1 species
GUGAGGAAUUUUCCGCAAUGGGCGAAAGCCUGACGGAGCAAUGUCGCGUGAAGGAUGAAGGCCUAUGGGUUGUAAACUUCUUUUCUCAGAAAAGAAUUAUGACGGUAUCUGAGGAAUAAGCAUCGGCUAACUCUGUGCCAGCAGCCGCGGUAAGACAGAGGAUGCAAGCGUUAUCCGGAAUGAUUGGGCGUAAAGCGUCUGUAGGUUGUUUAAAAAGUAUUCUGUCAAAGAUUAGGGCUUAACCCUAGAUAGGCAGAAUAAACUUUUAAGCUAGAGUUUGGUAGAGGCAGAGGGAAUUCCCGGUGGAGCGGUGAAAUGCGUAGAUAUCGGGAGGAACACCAAAGGCGAAGGCACUCUGCUGGGCCAAUACUAACACUGAGAGACGAAAGCGAGGGGAGCAAAUGGGAUUAGAUACCCGAGUAGUCC